rnacentral:rRNA from 1 species
UUCCGGUUGAUCCUGCCGGAGGCUACCGCUAUUGGAAUCCGAUUAAGCCAUGCGAGUCGAGAGAUUUCGGAUCUCGGCAGACGUCUCAGUAACACGUGGAUAAUCUGCCCUUGAGUGGGGGAUAAGCUUGGAAACCUGAGUAUAAUACCCCAUAGGCCUAGGAUGCUGGAAUGCUUCUAGGCCGAAAGCUCCGGCGCUCAAGGAUGAGUCUGCGACCUAUCAGGCUGUAGUGGGUGUAACGGACCCACUAACCUUCGACGGGUACGGGCCUUGAGAGAGGUUGCCCGGAGUUGGACUCUGAGACACGAGUCCAGGCCCUACGGGGUGCAGCAGGCGCGAAAACUUCACAAUGUGGGAAACCGCGAUGAGGGGAUUCCAAGUGCCAGCACAAUGUGUUGGCUGUUCAUCUGCCUAAAAAGCUGGUGAAGUAAGGGCCGGGUAAGACGGGUGCCAGCCGCCGCGGUAAUACCCGCGGCCCGAGUGGUGGUCGCUAUUAUUGAGCCUAAAGCGUCCGUAGCCGGUUUAGUAAAUUUUUGGGUAAAUCGGGCAGCUUAACUGUCCGAAUUCCGGAAAGACUGCUAAACUUGGGACCGGAGGAGGUUGGAGGUACUCCUGGGGUAGGGGUGAAAUCCUGUAAUCCUGGGGGGACCACCAGUGGCGAAGGCGUCCAACCAAGACGGCUCCGACGGUAAGGGACGAAGCCCUGGGGCGCAAACGGGAUUAGAUACCCCGGUAGUCCAGGGUGUAAACGCUGCAGCUUGGUGUUGGGGGUCCUACGAGGGCGCCCAGUGCCGGAGAGAAGUUGUUAAGCCUGCCGCUUGGGGAGUACGUCCGCAAGGAUGAACUUAAAGGAAUUGGCGGGGGAGCACAGCAACGGGUGGAGCGUGCGGUUCAAUUGGACUCACGCCGGUAA